CUACGCUCGAGCUAGAGCUGGAUUUACUUAGAAAACAAACCAUAAAGGAGGUAUUUUGACACUACAGUUCACUGCAGAAGUUACGGAAGUAGACGAGAAUCAUCAGACAUCUUUGAACCACGUAGAAAUCGAUAUUUCGGUUCAUAUGUCCAUCUCCAUCACGCUGGAAUCGGCCAUCACCUCUGUCUCAUCUGACAUUCAUUAUCAGGGGGCGAGGUAAGCGUUAAAUGUUCCGGAUAUUGAUGGGAACCUCUGCAUCAUGACAUGGACUAAAUGUGUGGACCAGCAGAAACCGUGAAUCACAUUUGCAGGUGUUUUUUUAGCAGUUCC